rnacentral:rRNA from 1 species
UACGGGUAGGGGCAGCGUUGUCCGGAGUUACUGGGCGUAAAGCGCACGCAGGCGGUCUCUUAAGUUUGGAGUGACAGUUGGUGGCUUAACUGCCAAAGUGCUUCGAAAACUGAGAGACUUGAGGGCUUCAGAGGGGCACGGAAUUCCGGGUGGAGUGGUGAAAUGCGUAGAGAUCCGGAGGAACACCAAAGGCGAAGGCAGUGUCCUGGGGAGUACCUGACGCUCAGGUGCGAAAGCCAGGGGAGCGAACGGG